AACGUAGGAGACGAACGUUAUCCGGAGUUACUGGGCGUAAAGGGCGUGCAGGUGGUUUGAUACGUUCGGCGUGAAAUUUUCCGGCUUAACCGGGGGAUGUCGUCGAAGACUGUCGGACUAGAGGGUGAUAGAGGCGUGUGGAAUUCCGGGUGUAGUGGUGAAAUGCGUAGAGAUCCGGAGGAACACCAGUGGCGAAGGCGACACGCUGGGUCACACCUGACACUGAUACGCGACAGCAUGGGGAGCAAACGGG
rnacentral:rRNA from 1 species